rnacentral:rRNA from 1 species
AUACGUAGGGUGCAAGCGUUAAUCGGAAUUACUGGGCGUAAAGCGUGCGCAGGCGGUUUUGUAAGACAGAGGUGAAAUCCCCGGGCUCAACCUGGGAACUGCCUUUGUGACUGCAAGGCUAGAGUACGGCAGAGGGGGAUGGAAUUCCGCGUGUAGCAGUGAAAUGCGUAGAUAUGCGGAGGAACACCGAUGGCGAAGGCAAUCCCCUGGGCCUGUACUGACGCUCAUGCACGAAAGCGUGGGGAGCAAACAGGAUUAGAUACCCUGGUAGUCCACGCCCUAAACGAUGUCAACUGGUUGUCGGGUCUUCAUUGACUCAGUAACGAAGCUAACGCGUGAAGUUGACCGCCUGGGGAGUUCGGCCGCAAGGUUGAAACUCAAAUGAAUUGACGGGG